GUUUGAUUCUGGCUCAGAACGAACGCUGGCAGCGUGGAUUAGGCAUGCAAGUCGAACGUGAAGCCGAUGAUCGAUCUUUCGGGAGAGUGAUUCGUGGAAAGUGGCGAAAGGGUGAGUAACGCGUGGGUAAGCUAUCUUGAAGUUCGGGACAACCCGCCGAAAGGCGAGCUAAUACCGAAUGUGGUCUUUGGAUGCAUAUCCGGAUGAUUAAAGGUGGGGCUCCUUUGGGACCUGCCGCUUUUAGAGGUGCCCGCGUGCCAUCAGCUUGUUGGUAGGGUAACGGCCUACCAAGGCUUACGGCUAGCCGGCCUGAGAGGGUGACCGGCCACACUGGGACUGAGACACUGCCCAGACUCCUACGGGAGGCUGCAGUCGAGGAUCAUUCGCAAUGCGCGAAAGCGUGACGGUGCGACGCUGCGUGGAGGAUGAAGGCCUUCGGGUCGUAAACUCCUGUCAUGAGGGAAAAGACAGCGGAUCAUUAAUACUGGUUCGCCUCGAUGGUACCUCAAGAGGAAGCCACGGCUAACUCUGUGCCAGCAGCCGCGGUAAUACAGAGGUGGCGAGCGUUGUUCGGAUUUACUGGGCGUAAAGGGUGCGUAGGUGGUUUUGUAUGUCGGAUGUGAAAGCCCAUGGCUCAACUGUGGAAUUGCAUUCGAAACUGCGGAACUAGAGUGCAGGAUGGGAGAGCGGAAUUCUUGGUGUAGCGGUGAAAUGCGUUGAUAUCAAGAAGAACACCGGUGGCGAAGGCGGCUCUCUGGAAUGUCACUGACACUGAGGCACGAAAGCUGGGGGAGCAAACAGGAUUAGAUACCCUGGUAGUCCCAGCCGUAAACGGUGCACACUUGGUGUGGGGAGAUUUAACCCUCUCCGUGCCGGAGCUAACGCGUUAAGUGUGCCGCCUGGGGAGUACGGCCGCAAGGCUAAAACUCAAAGAAAUUGACGGGGGCCCGCACAAGCGGAGGAGCAUGUGGCUUAAUUCGAUGCAACGCGAAGAACCUUACCAGGGCUUGACAUAUACCUGCACGCCCCUCGAAAGGGGGGAAGCCUUUGAGGGUGGUAUACAGGUGCUGCAUGGCCGUCGUCAGUUCGUGCUGUGAGGUGUUGGGUUAAGUCCCGUAACGAACGCAACCCUUGUGGUUAGUUGCCACCGGCGGUGAUGAGCCGCCGAGCACUCUAGCCAGACUGCCCGUACAAGCGGGAGGAAGGUGGGGAUGACGUCAAGUCAGUAUGGCCCUUACGCCCUAGGCUGCACACGUGCUACAAUGGGCGGUACAAUGGGAAGCAAUACCGCGAGGUGGAGCAAAUCCCCAAAGCCGCCCCCAGUUCGGAUUGAAGUCUGCAACUCGACUUCAUGAAGUUGGAUUCGCUAGUAACGGCGCAUCAGCUACGGCGCCGUGAAUACGUUCCCGGGCCUUGUACACACCGCCCGUCACAUCAUGAAAGCCGUCUGCACCCGAAGUCGCUGAUCCAACCCGCAAGGGAGGAA
rnacentral:rRNA from 1 species